UCUAAGCCAUGCGAGUCUACUCACGGGCUUCCGUGGGUGGCACACUGCUGAGUAACACGUAGUCAACCUGCCCCAAGGAGGGGGAUAACCUCGGGAAACUGAGGCUAACACCACAUAGGCCAUCUAUGCUGGAAUGCUUGAUGGCCCAAAAGGCCGGCAAAUUGCAGCCGGUCCGCCUUGGGAUGGGACUGCGGGGGAUUAGGUAGUUGGUAGGGUAACGGCCUACCAAGCCGAUAAUCUCUAGGGGCCAUGAGAGUGGUGGCCCCCAGAAGGGCACUGAGACAAGGGCCCUAGUCCUACGGGAUGCAGCAGGCGCGAAACCUCUGCAAUGCGCGAAAGCGUGACAGGGGAACUCCGAGUGACGGAAACUUAGUUUCCGCCUUUUGCCAAGUGUAAACAGCUUGGAGAAUAAGGGUGUGGGCAAGACUGGUGGCAGCCGCCGCGGUAACACCAGCGCCUCGAGUGGUACCCACGUAUACUGGGCCUAAAGCGUCCGUAGCCGGCCUGAAAAGUCCUCUGUGAAAUAGUGGGGCUCAACUCCACUGCGCGCAGGGGAUACUGCCGGGCUUGGGAGCGGGGGAGGCAGGGGGUACACCUAGGGUAGGGGUAAAAUCCGUUGAGCCUAGGUGGACCACCAGUGGCGAAGGCGCCCUGCCAAAACGCGUCCGACGGUGAGGGACGAAAGCUGGGGGAGCGAACGGGAUUAGAUACCCCGGUAGUCCAGGGUGUAAACGCUGUGCGCUUGGUGUUGGGGGUCCUACGAGGGCACCCAGUGCCGGAGAGAAGUUGUUAAGCGCACCGCCUGGGGAGUACGGUCGCAAGACUGAAACUUAAAGGAAUUGGCGGGGGAGCACCGCAACGGGAGGAGCGUGCGGUUUAAUUGGAUUCAACGCCGAAAAACUCACCAGGGGCGACUGCCAUAUGAAGGCCAAGCUGAUGACUUUGCCUGAUUGGUAGAGAGGAGGUGCAUGGCC
rnacentral:rRNA from 1 species